rnacentral:rRNA from 1 species
AGCUAAUAGAUACCCAGGUAGUCCUGGCCGUAAACGAUGGACACUAGGUGUCGGGGGUAUCGACCCCCCGGUGCCGCAGCUAAACGCAUUAAGUGUCCCGCCUGGGGAGUACGGCUGCAAGGUUGAAACUCAAAGGAAUUGACGGGGGCCCGCACAAGCGGUGGAGCAUGUUGUUUAAUACGUCACUAACCGUAGAACCUUACCAGGGCUUGACAUCCGACGACCGCCGGUGAAAGCCGGUUUUCCCCGCAAGGGGACGUCGAGACAGGUGUUGCAUGGCUGUCGUCAGCUCGUGUCGUGAGAUGUUGGGUUAAGUCCCGCAACGAGCGCAACCCCACCCCAUGUUGCCAGCGGAUCAAGCCGGGGACUCUUGGGGAACUGCCUUCGCAAGAGGGAGGAAGGUGGGGACGACGUCAAGUCAGCAUGGCCCUUACGCCCUGGGCUACAAACAUGCUACAAUGGGCGGCAGACAGAGGGACCCGAGGUCGCGAGACGGAGGCAACCCCGCAAAUCCGCCCCAGUUCAGAUCGCAGGCUGCAACUCGCCUGCGUGAAGUC